AUUGAACGCUGGCGGCAGGCCUAACACAUGCAAGUCGAGCGGAUGAAGGGAGCUUGCUCCUGGAUUCAGCGGCGGACGGGUGAGUAAUGCCUAGGAAUCUGCCUGGCAGUGGGGGAUAAUGUCCGGAAACGGGCGCUAAUACCGCAUACGUCCUGAGGGAGAAAGUGGGGGAUCUUCGGACCUCACGCUAUCAGAUGAGCCUAGGUCGGAUUAGCUAGUUGGUGGGGUAAAGGCCUACCAAGGCGACGAUCCGUAACUGGUCUGAGAGGAUGAUCAGUCACACUGGAACUGAGACACGGUCCAGACUCCUACGGGAGGCAGCAGUGGGGAAUAUUGGACAAUGGGCGAAAGCCUGAUCCAGCCAUGCCGCGUGUGUGAAGAAGGUCUUCGGAUUGUAAAGCACUUUAAGUUGGGAGGAAGGGCAGUAAGUUAAUACCUUGCUGUUUUGACGUUACCAACAGAAUAAGCACCGGCUAACUUCGUG
rnacentral:rRNA from 1 species